CCCUAGUACGGCGAGUGAAGCGGGAACAGCUCAAAUUUGAAAUCUGGCCUUCGGGUCCGAAUUGUAAUUUGCAGAGGAUGCUUUUGGUUAGGUACUUUCCGAGUUCCCUGGAACGGGACGCCUUAGAGGGUGAGAGCCCCGUACGGUUGGAUACCGAGCCUUUGUAAAGCUCCUUCGACGAGUCGAGUAGUUUGGGAAUGCUGCUCUAAAUGGGAGGUAAAUUUCUUCUAAAGCUAAAUACCGGCCAGAGACCGAUAGCGCACAAGUAGAGUGAUCGAAAGAUGAAAAGCACUUUGAAAAGAGGGUUAAAUAGCACGUGAAAUUGUUGAAAGGGAAGCGUUUAUGACCAGACUUUUUCCAGGCGGAUCAUCCGGUGUUCUCACCGGUGCACUUCGUCUGGUUGAGGCCAGCAUCGGUUUUCGUAGAGGGAUAAAAGCAGUAGGAAUGUGAUUCCCCCGGGAAUGUUAUAGCCUAUUGUAUAAUACCUUUAUGGGGACCGAGGUUCGCGCUCUGCAAGGAUGCUGGCGUAAUGGUCAUCAACGACCCGUCUUGAAACACGGACCAAGGAGUCGAACAUUUGUGCAAGUGUUUGGGUGUUAAACCCUCACGCGUAAUGAAAGUGAACGGAGGUGAGAGCCCUUACGGGUGCAUCAUCGACCGAUCCUGAUGUUUUCGGAUGGAUUUGAGUAAGAGCAUAACUGUUCGGACCCGAAAGAUGGUGAACUAUGCGUGGGAUAGGGUGAAGCCAGAGGAAACUCUGGUGGAGCUUCGCAGCGGGUUCUGACGUGCAAAUCGAUCGUCAAAUCUGCGCAUGGGGGGCGAAAGACUAAUCGAAC
rnacentral:rRNA from 1 species